rnacentral:misc_RNA from 1 species
GAAUAAAGAAACGGCUUGUCUGAAAUGCCUGAGUGUACCCCGCUUUGCGGCGUAUUCGGUGUGAUACAUCUUCACCGGAGUUGAUCCUUUACGGGUCGCGUCUGUAACGAGUGUGGCUCUAUGCUUCGAACCGUCUUCUGAUCGAGACAAAACUCUGACAAUUUGACCUCAAAUCGGGUGGGACUACCCGCUGAACUUAA